rnacentral:rRNA from 1 species
UACGUAGGGGGCAAGCGUUGUCCGGAAUCAUUGGGCGUAAAGAGCGUGUAGGCGGCCCGAUAAGUCCGCUGUGAAAGUCCAGGGCUCAACCCUGGAAUGCCGGUGGAUACUGUCGGGCUCGAGUUCGGAAGAGGUGAGUGGAAUUCCUGGUGUAGCGGUGAAAUGCGCAGAUAUCAGGAAGAACACCUAUGGCGAAGGCAGCUCUCUGGGACGGUACUGACGCUGAGACGCGAAAGCGUGGGGAGCGAACAGG